rnacentral:rRNA from 1 species
AAGGGUUGGUCUGUUCGCCCAUUAAAGCGGUACGUGAGUUGGGUUUAGACCGUCGUGAGACAGGUCGGUCCCUAUCUGGUGUGGGUUUAGGAUGACUGAGGAGACUCUUUCCUAGUACGAGAGGAUUGGAAAGAACGUACCUCUGGUGUGCCAGUUGUCGCGCUAGCGGCAUAGCUGGGUAGCUAAGUACGGAUCGGAUAAGCGCUGAAAGCAUCUAAGCGCGAAGCCAACUCCAAGACUGGUCAUCCCAUGAGACACCUAGUAGACCACUAGGUUGAUAGGCCGGGAGUGUAAGGACGGCAACGUCUUCAGCUGACCGGUACUAACCAGUCGAUCGGCUUAAUCUCAUUUU